rnacentral:rRNA from 1 species
UAAACGACUCUCGGCAACGGAUAUCUUGGCUCUCGCAUCGAUGAAGAACGUAGCGAAAUGCGAUACUUGGUGUGAAUUGCAGAAUCCCGUGAACCAUCGAGUCUUUGAACGCAAGUUGCGCCCGAAGCCGUCAGGCCGAGGGCACGUCUGCCUGGGCGUCACGC